rnacentral:rRNA from 1 species
CCUACGGGUGGCAGCAGUGAGGAAUAUUGGUCAAUGGGCGUAAGCCUGAACCAGCCAAGUCGCGUGAGGGAUGAAGGUUCUAUGGAUCGUAAACCUCUUUUAUAAGGGAAUAAAGUGCGGGACGUGUCCCGUUCUGUAUGUACCUUAUGAAUACGGAUCGGCUAACUCCGUGCCAGCAGCCGCGGUAAUACGGAGGAUCCGAGCGUUAUCCGGCUGUAUUGGGUUUAAAGGGUGCGUAGGCGGCCUUUUAAGUCAGCGGUGAAAGUCUGUGGCUCAACCAUAGAAUUGCCGUUGAAACUGGGAGGCUUGAGUAUGUUUGAGGCAGGCGGAAUGCGUGGUGUAGCGGUGAAAUGCUUAGAUAUCACGCAGAACCCCGAUUGCGAAGGCAGCCUGCCAAGCCAUGACUGACGCUGAUGCACGAAAGCGUGGGGAGCAAACAGGAUUAGAUACCCCUGUAGUC